UACGAAGGGAGCUAGCGUUGUUCGGAAUCACUGGGCGUAAAGCGCACGUAGGCGGACGUGUCAGUCAGGGGUGAAAUCCCGGAGCUCAACUGAGGAACUGCGAUCGAAACUGCCGUUCUUGAGGAUUGCAGAGGAGACUGGAAUUCCCGGUGUAGCGGUGAAAUGUGUAGAGAUCGGGAGGAACACCGGUGGCGAAGGCGGAUCUCUGGGCCUUACUGACGCUGAGGAGCGAAAAGCGUGGGGAGCGAACAGGG
rnacentral:rRNA from 1 species